CACGAUAAAGGCAAACCCUGAGUGAUCAGGGGACGCAAAGUAAAGGGUCUCUGGUAUCCUCGAAGAAGUUGCGAACUGAUAGACAACCUUACUGCCGAAG
rnacentral:ncRNA from 1 species